rnacentral:rRNA from 1 species
UACGAGGGGGGCGAGCGUUGUUCGGAAUUAUUGGGCGUAAAGGGCUCGUAGGCGGUCUGUUGCGUCGGGAGUGAAAACUCAGGGCUUAACCCUGAGCCUGCUUCCGAUACGGGCAGACUAGAGGUAUGCAGGGGAGAACGGAAUUCCUGGUGUAGCGGUGAAAUGCGCAGAUAUCAGGAGGAACACCGGUGGCGAAGGCGGUUCUCUGGGCAUUACCUGACGCUGAGGAGCGAAAGUGUGGGGAGCGAACAGG